rnacentral:lncRNA from 1 species
AUAAGUUUUUUCCCCCUCGAGAGAACUAAGGAUACUAUUACUUGGAAAGUUCUAUAAUUUUCGUAAUAUUUAAAAUCAAGUGGUAUAUUGUCAUUUCUCUUAUGUAUUGUGAUGGCUAAACAAUCCAAAUAUGAUAACCCCCAAACCAAAUCCCCUAAAGAUCAAAUAGAGUUCUCUCUAUUUGUUUAAAGGUAAAAAAAAUAUCUUAAGUCCAGCAAUAGCC